ACUGUGCACUCCUAGUGUAAAUGGCAGAGACAGCCACAGAAUUUUACCUUCUCACUGGGAAAUUAUUUUCUCUCUGUGUGUUUUGAUGGUGACAGGCUUUCUUCCAACUUGCAGUUCUUCCUCCUUGGGGGAAUAGAAAUGUAAGGAAUAAUUUCUGAUUUGAUAUUUCCUGUUCUACUCACGUACCACUGCAGUUUAAAGACUAUCUACCAAACUAGCUAACAACCCACUUUCAAAACUAUACUUUGGGAAAACAGAAGGCCAAGGGGAAGAGAAGAAAAAGUCUCUUCAAAGAAUACAUUUGAGGAUAUACGUGAAGUAUUUGGAAGAAGAGAUGAUUUGCUAAUUCUACUGGGCACAUAACAUUGUAUAAAGCUACAUUGAUGUGAUCUAGGUAAGAUAAUUUUUUUUUUUUAAUUUUUUUUAUUGGUUGUUCAAAACAUUGGGUAAGAUAAUUCUUAAGCUAAAAUUCUAUCAUUAUGCUGUAUAAGGCAGUGUCAUUGUAAGCGAAGAUGUUUGCCUAUCACACAUAAUUCAAAAUAGUCUUGUUCAUCACUAAUU
rnacentral:lncRNA from 1 species